rnacentral:rRNA from 2 species
UAUUCCUGUACUUGGUGUUACUGCGAAGGGGGGACGGAGAAGGCUAUGUCAGCCGGGCGACGGUUGUCCCGGUUUAAGCAUGUAGGCGGAGGUUCCAGGUAAAUCCGGUACCUUAUUAACGCUGAGGUGUGAUGACGAGGCACUACGGUGCUGAAGUGAUAAAUGCCCUGCUUCCAGGAAAAGCCUCUAAGCAUCAGGUAACACGAAAUCGUACCCCAAACCGACACAGGUGGUCAGGUAGAGAAUACCAAGGCGCUUGAGAGAACUCGGGUGAAGGAACUAGGCAAAAUGGUGCCGUAACUUCGGGAGAAGGCACGCUGAUAUGUAGGUGAAGCCCCUGCGGGCGGAGCUGAAAUCAGUCGAAGAUACCAGCUGGCUGCAACUGUUUAUUAAAAACACAGCACUGUGCAAACACGAAAGUGGACGUAUACGGUGUGACGCCUGCCCGGUGCCGGAAGGUUAAUUGAUGGGGUUAGCGGCAACGCGAAGCUCUUGAUCGAAGCCCCGGUAAACGGCGGCCGUAACUAUAACGGUCCUAAGGUAGCGAAAUUCCUUGUCGGGUAAGUUCCGACCUGCACGAAUGGCGUAAUGAUGGCCAGGCUGUCUCCACCCGAGACUCAGUGAAAUUGAACUCGCUGUGAAGAUGCAGUGUACCCGCGGCAAGACGGAAAGACCCCGUGAACCUUUACUAUAGCUUGACACUGAACACUGGUCCUUGAUGUGUAGGAUAGGUGGGAGGCUUUGAAGCGUGGACGCCAGUCUGCGUGGAGCCGCCCUUGAAAUACCACCCUUUAAUGGCUGGUGUUCUAACGUAGACCCGUGAUCCGGGUUGCGGACAGUGUCUGGUGGGUAGUUUGACUGGGGCGGUCUCCUCCCAAAGAGUAACGGAGGAGCACGAAGGUUGGCUAAUCCUGGUCGGACAUCAGGAGGUUAGUGCAAUGGCAUAAGCCAGCUUGACUGCGAGCGUGACGGCGCGAGCAGGUGCGAAAGCAGGUCAUAGUGAUCCGGUGGUUCUGAAUGGAAGGGCCAUCGCUCAACGGAUAAAAGGUACUCCGGGGAUAACAGGCUGAUACCGCCCAAGAGUUCAUAUCGACGGCGGUGUUUGGCACCUCGAUGUCGGCUCAUCACAUCCUGGGGCUGAAGUAGGUCCCAAGGGUAUGGCUGUUCGCCAUUUAAAGUGGUACGCGAGCUGGGUUUAGAACGUCGUGAGACAGUUCGGUCCCUAUCUGCCGUGGGCGCUGGAGAAUUGAGGGGGGCUGCUCCUAGUACGAGAGGACCGGAGUGGACGCAUCACUGGUGUUCGGGUUGUCAUGCCAAUGGCACUGCCCGGUAGCUAAAUGCGGAAGAGAUAAGUGCUGAAAGCAUCUAAGCACGAAACUUGCCCCGAGAUGAGUUCUCCCUGAGACCUUGAGUCUCCUGAAGGAACGUUGAAGACGACGACGUUGAUAGGUCGGGUGUGUAAGCGCAGCGAUGCGUUGAGCUAACCGAUACUAAUGAACCGUGAGGCUUAACCUU